AGCUCCAAUAGCGUAUAUUAAAGUUGUUGCAGUUAAAAAGCUCGUAGUUGGAUUUCUGGUGUCCUUUGGUCGUUGGUGCGAUUGUAUCGAUGACCGAUGGUACCUUUCUUGGGAAUUGUCGGUUUGGCAUUAGCUUGUUGAACUGCGCGAGUCCCAUCGUUUACUGUGAAAAAAUUAGAGUGUUCAAAGCAGGCUUAGGCCAGAAUACAUUAGCAUGGAAUAAUAAGAUAUGAAUUCGGUGUAGACUUGUGUCGUAUUUUGUUGGUUUGUGCAUCGAGUUAAUGAUCAAUAGGGAUAGUUGGGGGUAUUCGUAUUCAAUUGUCAGAGGUGAAAUUCUUGGAUUUAUGGAAGACGAACUACUGCGAAAGCAUUUACCAAGGAUGUUUUCA
rnacentral:rRNA from 1 species